rnacentral:rRNA from 1 species
CAGUCGCCGCGGUAAUACGUAGGUCCCGAGCGUUGUCCGGAUUUAUUGGGCGUAAAGGGAGCGCAGGCGGUUUAGUAAGUCUGAAGUUAAAGGCAUUGGCUCAACCAAUGUAUGCUUUGGAAACUGUUAGACUUGAGUGCAGAAGGGGAGAGUGGAAUUCCAUGUGUAGCGGUGAAAUGCGUAGAUAUAUGGAGGAACACCGGUGGCGAAAGCGGCUCUCUGGUCUGUCACUGACGCUGAGGCUCGAAAGCGUGGGUAGCGAACAGGAUUAGAUACCCGAGUAGUCCCUGUCUCUUAUACA